rnacentral:rRNA from 1 species
AUUGAACGCUGGCGGCAGGCCUAACACAUGCAAGUCGAACGAGUGGCGGACGGGUGAGUAAUGUCUGGGAAACUGACUGAUGGAGGGGGAUAACUACUGGAAACGGUAGCUAAUACCGCAUACCAUCGGAUGUGCCCAGAUGGGAUUAGCUAGUAGGUGGGGUAAAGGCUCACCGGGGCGACGAUCCCUAGCUGGUCUGGGAGGAGGACCAGCAACCCUGGAACGUUGACACGGUCCAGACUCCUACGGUAGGCAGCAGUGGGGAAAAUUGAACAAUGGGCGCAAGCCUGAUGCAGCCAUGCCGCGUGUAUGAAGAAGGCCUUCGGGUUGUAAAGUACUUUCAGCGGUGAGGCGUUACCCGCAGAAGAAGCACCGGCUAACUCCGUGCCAGCAGCCGCGGUAAUUC